rnacentral:rRNA from 1 species
UAAAGCAAGAAAGGGCGUAUGGGGAAUGCCUAGGCACACUCCGGCGAAGAAGGACGCAGCAAACAGCGAAAUGCGACGGUGAGCGGUAAGCACGUGAAGAGCCGUCGAUAUCCGAAUGGGGGAACCCACACGGAGUCAUAUCCGUGUAUCACAUGUCGAAUACAUAGACAUGAUGAGGCGAGACGCAGGGAACUGAAACAUCUAAGUACCUGCAGGAAGAGAAAAUAAGAAUGAUUUUCUGAGUAGCGGCGAGCGAAAGGGAAAGAGCCCAAACCGAUUUUAGGAUCGGGGUAGUAGGAUCAUCGAGGAAUCUGACAGAGGAUCAUAGAGGAAUCACAUGGGAAGGUGAGCGAGAGAGGGUGAGAGCCCCGUACUCGAAAUGAGAGACUGGAGAGAGAUGACACCUGAGUAGGGCGGGACACGAGAAAUCCUGUCUGAAUCAGCCGGGACCAUCCGGCAAGGCUAAAUACGAGAGAGUGACCGAUAGUGAACCAGUACCGUGAGGGAAAGGUGAAAAGAACCCCGGGAGGGGAGUGAAAGAGAACCUGAAACCAUAUGCCUACAAGAAGUCAGAGCCCGUUAAAGGGUGAUGGCGUGCCUUUUGUAGAAUGAACCGGCGAGUUACUGUAUGGAGCGAGGUUAAGCAGGAUAUGCGGAGCCGAAGCGAAAGCGAGUCUUAAGAGGGCGAGAGUUGCAUGCAGUAGACCCGAAACCGGGUGAUCUAGCCAUGACCAGGUUGAAGUUGGGGUAAAACCCGAUGGAGGACCGAACCGACCCCCGUUGAAACGUUGGCGGAUGAGUUGUGGCUAGGGGUGAAAUUCCAAUCGAACCCGGAGAUAGCUGGUUCUCCCCGAAAUAGCUUUAGGGCUAGCGUCGAGGUAAGUUGCGUGAAGGUAGAGCACUGAAUAUGUGAUGGCCCCAUCUCGGGGUACUGAGCAUAAUCAAACUGCGAAUGUCACGCCAACAUGCUCGGCAGUCAGACAGCGGGUGAUAAGGUCCGUUGUCAAGAGGGAAACAGCCCAGACCAUCAGCUAAGGUCCCAAAAUGUAUGCUAAGUGGAAAAGGAUGUGGAGAUGUACAGACAACUAGGAGGUUGGCUCAGAAGCAGCCAUCCUUUAAAGAGUGCGUAACAGCUCACUAGUCGAAUGACUCUGCGCCGAUAAUUUACCGGGGCUAAGCAUACUACCGAAGCUAUGGAUCCCAAGGGAUGGUAGGGGAGCGUUCCAUGAACGGAGAAGUACGACCGAAAGGACGUGUGGAGAUCAUGGAAGAGAGAAUGCCGGUGUGAGUAGCGGAACGUGGGUGAGAAUCCCACGCACCGAAAACCCAAGGUUUCCAGAGGAAGGUUCGUCCGCUCUGGGUAAGUCGGGACCUAAGGCGAGGCCGAAAGGCGUAGUCGAUGGACAACAGGUAGAGAUUCCUGUACCCGUAUAUAUGUGAAGGAAUGACGGAGAGAGGAAGCUGCAGCCAGCGGCUGGAAGAGCUGGUGCAAGCGAGAUAUCGGGAUGGCAGGCAAAUCCACCAUCCGAAACGAGAAGGCGUGAAGCGUACGGAAAGCUACGGCGAGUACGGAAGGCAGUGGAGGAACUUCCAAGAAAAGUUUCUAACGUUAAGUAUAUAUGGCCCGUACCGAAAAUGGACACACAUGGGUGAGGAGAGAAUCCUAAGGUGAGCGAGAGAACUAUAGCUAAGGAACUCUGCAAAAUGACUCCGUAACUUAGGGAGAAGGAGUGCUCAUAGAGAUAUGAGCCGCAGUGAAACGGCCCAAGCGACUGUUUACCAAAAACACAGCUCUCUGCUAAGCCGCAAGGCGAAGUAUAGGGGGUGACGCCUGCCCGGUGCUGGAAGGUUAAGGGGAGGGGUUAACGCAAGUGAAGCCCUGAACUGAAGCCCCAGUAAACGGCGGCCGUAACUAUAACGGUCCUAAGGUAGCGAAAUUCCUUGUCAGGUAAGUUCUGACCCGCACGAAAGGCGUAAUGAUUUGGGCACUGUCUCAACAGCCCGCCCGGCGAAAUUGUAGU